rnacentral:tRNA from 1 species
GGGGGAUGUACCCAAG